GUCUCUCUCUUUGAUCCCCUCUGGGAGCCUUCGCGUAGGCAGCAUGACCUCCCCCAGCUGAGGACGGGGCCACCGAGGCACAUGGCAGCUAAGCUGUGUUGCCUGAGGUCACACACUUGACCGAUGGUGGGGCUGGAACCUGGACCCUGGCGUCUGGCCUCCAAAGCCCAGGCUCUUAGGUACUGAGCCUCCUGGCUAAGCCAACGCAGGGCAGAGAGAGGCAGCCCUGGGGUCCUCGUAUCCACUCUCUAGGAACCUUCAGGGGUCAGAGAGCAUUUGCUCUGAUAGGCCUUUUUCGGCACUGAAGCACUGAGGCCCAAAGAGCUUCCCUCCAUCUCUUUCACGCCCACCAGGCAUCUGAGGCAAAGCAGGAGCCUGGCAACAUCUGCCGGAAACCUGGAUGAUGCCUAAGCCUAGGUACCGCCAUUAGGUAAUGAGCUGACAUUAGGAAAACUGGGUGAAGGAUACACAGGAACCCUCUGUACUGUCUUUGCAACUUUCAUGUGAAUUUAAAACUAGUCCCUAAAAAGAACUUAUUCAAAAAUACAAUUUGGGGGCUUCCCUGGUGUCUCGGUGAUAAAGAAUCCGCCUGACAAUGCAGGAGACACGGGUUUGAUGCCUGAUCUGGGAAGAUCCCACAUGCCAUGGAGCAACUAAGCCUGUAUGCCACAACUAUUGAGCCUGUGUUCUAGAGCCCAGGAACUGCAGCUACUGAGCCUGUGUGCUUCAACUGCCGAAGCCCACACCUCCAAGAGCCCAAGCUCCACAAGAGAAGACACUGCAAUGAGAAGCCUGUGCACCGCAACUGGAGAGCAGCCUCCUCUUGCAGCAACUAGAGAAAAGCCCAAGCUGCCACGAAGACCCAGCACAACCAAAAUUAAAAAAAGAAACAAACAUUGUGGGGCAAUGAAGAUAAGGACUGUUGUCGUCUUCACUGGCUUCCUCGAGGGUAAACCAAGGCACAGAGAGACAAGUCCUGGUCCAGGUUCACAGCUGGGGGCCUGGGUUCAAACCCUGGUCAGGGAACCAAGAUCCCACCUGCUGCAACCGAGAGUCCACGUGCCGCAGCUACAGAUCCGGUGUACUGCAACUAAGACCACGAGUGCCCAACUAAGACCCAGCGCAGUCAAAGACAUAAAUAA
ensembl:lncRNA